GGAGUUGAUUCCUGGAAAGUGUUGGUGUGGAUUUUAGUCGUUACUGCAUUUUAACACUGUGGGUGUUAAAUUAGACCACACCUUCAUUUCCUGUGGAGCUUCGCAUUUCAGAAUCUUCGGUCGCCAUUUUUUCUUGCUGCUGCGGUGGUGAUAUGCUGGUUCCUGAGAAGAGAUGAAGAAUUCAAAGUCAGCUUUUUAAGACAGCCCCAAGACUCCUCGCAACUUGUGUUCAAAUGUGAGGCUGUUGUCAGGUGAUGAAUGCAAGGAAGAGGCACUCAACUGACAUGAAACAUGUCAAAGACAACAUGAAGGUGACAUUUCAACAUAGGCAAAAAGUGGUUCAAGAACCUGCCA